GUUUAAAUAAUUUAAAAAAAAAUAUUGGUUUGUGGAAUCAAAAAUGUUUCAAGAUAAACUUUAAAUA
rnacentral:tRNA from 1 species